rnacentral:rRNA from 1 species
CUACGGGACGCUCCAGUGAGGAAUAUUGCGCAAUGGGGGGAACCCUGAUGCAGCAACGCCGCGUGGAGGAUGACGCAUUUCGGUGUGUAAACUCCUUUUAUAUGUCAAGAAAAUGACGGUAGCAUAUGAAUAAGCACCGGCUAACUCCGUGCCAGCAGCCGCGGUAAUACGGGGGGUGCAAGCGUUACUCGGAAUCACUGGGCGUAAAGGACGCGUAGGCGGGUUGGAAAGUCAGGUGUGAAAUCCUACAGCUUAACUGUAGAGCUGCACUUGAAACUUCUAAUCUAGAGUAUGGGAGGGGGAGAUGGAAUUAGUGGUGUAGGGGUAAAAUCCGUAGAUAUCACUAGGAAUACCUAAAGCGAAGGCGAUCUCCUGGAACAUUACUGACGCUAAGGCGUGAAAGCGUGGGGAGCAAACAGGAUUAGAUACCCCCGUAGUC